CAGGGAAUCUUGCGCAAUGGGCGAAAGCCUGACGCAGCGACACCGCGUGGGGGAAGAAGGCCUUAGGGUCGUAAACCCCUUUUCUCAGGGAGGAGAAUGGACAGUACCUGAGGAAUAAGGUUCGGCUAACUACGUGCCAGCAGCCGCGGUAAUACGUAGGAACCGAGCGUUGUCCGAAUUUACUGGGCGUAAAGGGCGCGUAGGCGGCUCGUUAAGUCUCAUGUGAAAUCUCCUGGCUCAACUAGGAGGGGUGAUGGGAAACUGGCGAGCUUGAGGGCACUAGAGGGAAGCGGAAUUCCCGGAGUAGUGGUGAAAUGCGUAGAUACCGGGAGGAACACCAGAGGCGAAAGCGGCUUCCUGGGGUGCGCCUGACGCUGAGGCGCGAAAGCGUGGGUAGCAAACCGG
rnacentral:rRNA from 1 species